rnacentral:sRNA from 1 species
GUUUGCUGGGCCUCUAUGUUAGUAUACGACUAUAGGUGAUGGUAAGGUUUGCUGGACCUCUUUGUAGGUGAUGGUAAGGUUUGCUGGGCCUCUAUGUAGGUGAUGGUAAGGUUUGCUGGGCCUCUAUGUAGGUGAUGGUAAGGCUUGCUGGGCCUCUAUGUAGGUGAUGGUAAGGUUUGCUGAGCCUCUAUGUAGGUGCUGGUAAGGCUUGCUGGGCCUCUAUGUAGAUGAAAGUAAGGUUUGCUGGGCCUCUAUGUUUGUAUACGACUAUAGGUGAUAGUAAGGCUUGCUGGGCCUCUAUGUAGAUGAAAGUAAGGUUUGCUGGGCCUCUAUGUAGGUGAUGGUAAGGUUUGCUGGGCCUCUAUGUAGAUGAAAGUAAGGUUUGCUGGGCCUCUAUGUUUGUAUACGA